GGAAAGGUGGCUGAGAGGUUAAAGGCGCUAGUUUGGAAGACUAGUUGGUAUUUUGCCAACGUGAGUUCGAAUCUCACUCUUUCC
rnacentral:tRNA from 1 species